UUCCACUAGAUUUUGUAGCGUGGCUGUGGGGAUUUGUGUUCAUUCAGCUACAAGAGUAUUAGUGAGGUUGAGGUCAGGCGCUGAUGUUGGGAUGUCGAGGAGGCUCCAGUUCCAGUUCAUCUCAAAGGUGCUCAGUGGGGUUGAGGUCAGGACUCUGUGCAGGAUACUCGAGUUCCUACACCUUCUUCCAACCUUAACACACCAUGUCUUCAUGGAGCUCGCUUUGUGCACUUUGUGUCAUGCUAGAACAGGUUUGGAGCCUCUUGGUUCCAGUGAAGGGAAAUUGUAAUGCUACAAAAAACAGAGACAUUCUAUAUAAUUGUGUGCUUCCAAGUUUGUGGCAACAGUUUGGGGAAGAACCAUAUAUGGGUGAGACAGUCAGGUGUAUAUACUUUUAGCCAUAUAGUGUAUUACUGCAUUCCACUCAGUGAUGAAUCCAGCGAGGAUUCAUUGCAUUCAAAUGUAUGGAUUUGCACUUUGUGACUGUACAACAAAAUGCAAAAUGCAAACUAGGUUUGUCAUUGGUGAAUAAUGGCAAUCAUUUAUUGGUGUGUCAGGAAUAAGCCAGACCACAUUUCCCAGCAUCUCCACACAUAGAACAGUAGAUAUUAUUGGUUCUAUUAGGUUUGAUAGUGCUAUGCUCUUGGUAUUUGUAGUUAAUAACAGUCACAACCAGGGACCUGUUAAUAUUCCACAUGGAAAGAGGCAAAAUAUGAUGAAUACAAUACCCGCAAUAACAACUGGUAAGAAACUUGUCACUGGAAAAAGAGGAUAAGCUACCAGUGCCUAUGAAAUUCCAUUAACAUGUGUACAGGGUAAUAUAGAAAAAUAGCACUGCCAAAAGUUUCAAGUUAAGCUUCUAUAAAGUUUCAAGGUAACAAAACAAAAUCAUACUCCUUUGCUGUGUGGGAGCAAAAGCAGCACCAAGUCAUUGCUGGCACAAAGAGUAGAUUCAAUUUUUCCAGGAGAAAAAAAAUCUUGGUUGCUUCUAUAAGCUUAUAUAAACUCACACAUACAAUGACGAGUCUUAAUGGAUGGCGCUGACUACGAACGGUCAAAUGGCAAUACAAGUUUUCCAAGAUGGUGUUAUUGGUGUUAUUACUACAAAGGUGAGUGUUUCCUUAUAAAGCUCAUCACAAGAAAAUGCUGAAAAGGAAUAGAGAAACUGGAAUAUUAUCAAAAAAUGAUCAUACUAGCAAUAAUAGCAAUAAUAAUAAGAGUAAUAACCAUUUAAAAAAAAUAAAUUUACAUUGUCAUGUGCAAAUCAACAUAGAGCUUUUUAUAUACAGUGUCCUCCAUAAUUAUUGGCACCCUUCAUAAUUUUUUUUUAAAUAAAAUAAACAUUACACACAAUAAUUAACAUUUUCCACUCAGAGAAACUAUUUAUCUUUGUUGUAAGAAAAAAAAUAAAUCUCAUUAGAUUUUUCAUAAUAGUAUUUUCUCUGAGAUAUAUGUGCCAAAAUUAUUGAGGAAUAUUUUAUAUAAACGCAAACAAAUUCUUUGACAUUCUUGAACAUUAUAUUAUUUCGCAUUUGCACGUUUACCUUUAACCAUGUCCUGUUUCCCUGGGAUAUAAAUAUGAGGCUGCACACAUGUAAAAUAUCCCCUUUUCAUCCAUUACCAUGGGGGGAGAAAAGAUCUUUCAAUACAGAUGGUUGGUACACAAAUCACAAAGUUAAAAUAUCAUUAAACACAACUAGGGCCAUAACAAAAUAUUUCACAUGUCUGAAAAAAAUGACCGUUUGCCAGGAACCGAGCACACACACUGAGGAAGAUGGUAAAGAAGGUUUAAAAAAUAAAAUAAAAUAAAAUAAAAAAAGCCUCAAGAUCAGUCUGAAAUGGUUUUAAGAAAGAAACACAAAAUCAAUGUUGAUGAUCAUCUCAGUCUCUGGAUUUGAACUUUACUGAAACUGAAGAGAAAAGUCCACAUGUAUAAACCUAAGAAUAUAAAAGGUGCUUAAAAUUUUUCUGCAUGGUGAUGUGGACAAAGAGUCCACAAGUCUACAAGUCUCUCCAAGCUUGUUAGAUCUUACAGGAAGAGACUCGGUGCUGUUCUCGUCCUGGCAGGUAUGACAAUAUUUUAAUCAUACACUCUUAAAAAUAUAGGUUCUUUAAUGGUUCUGAACAGCAUCAUAGGUUCUGCAAAGAAUCUUCUUCUUGUCAAGAACCAUUGUUCAUUGUAUAGGGUUAUUGAGCUGAGAUAUAUGGCUCCUUGAAGAAGUUCUUUAUGGUUCAUUAUUGGUUCUUCAGAGCAGUGAAUAGGUUCUUCAAGGUAUCAUCCCUUAACAGGUUAAAGUGAACCCUACUGUACUACUUAAAAACCUUACUUUGGUUUCUUAAAGAACUAAUGUUGUUUUUUUGAGAGAACUUAUGAUAACAAGGUUCCUUGUGGCACUGCUGUGAAGAAAUAUUUGUGGGUUCUUUAAAGCAGCAGUAAAUAGAUGGUUCUCUAAAGAAUGUGAGAGUAAAAGGUUAUUUGUGCAACUUAAAAGGGUUCUCCUAUGGCUUCAGGCUGGAAAAGCCCUUUCUGGUUCUAAUUGGAACCUUUAUUUUUAAGAGUGUAAGUGUUUUUAGAAAAAAAAAAUGUACUGCUAAAACAAUGUUUGGUCUUUAAAAAGAAACUUUACAAUGUCAACGUGAGCUGUUUCAAACUAACUUUUUAGAUAUUCGUUUUUUGCUCAUUUUUUAAAAGCGUGCCAAUAAUUCUUGAGGGUACUGUAGCUUUGUAGCAACUGUCAUACAAUUAAUUGGGCUUGUAUGGAUUUCUGUAUAUUUUUUAAAACCUUCUUUGAUUAUAAUCCCAUCAAGUUAGUUUGCGAAUUGAUUCGAAUCAGGGUUUCGGGAUGUAGAUACUGUUUUUAUGAAGCGAUAGGAUUUUAUAUAUACACACUACAUUUAUGUAAAUUACCUCUACAAUCACAUUCACAUAUACUGAUAUUUACAGACAUACCUAGUGAAAGAAUAGUUUAAUCUCAUAUAGGUCUUUAUAACUUUUAUAGAAUU
ensembl:lncRNA